GCAUAUCAAUAAGCGGAGGAAAAGAAACCAACAGGGAUUGCCCUAGUAACGGCGAGUGAAGCGGCAACAGCUCAAAUUUGAAAUCUGGCUCUUUUAGGGUCCGAGUUGUAAUUUGCAGAGGGCGCUUUGGCUUUGGUAGCGGUCCAAGUUCCUUGGAACAGGACGUCACAGAGGGUGAGAAUCCCGUACGUGGUCGCUAGCUAUUGCCGUGUAAAGCCCCUUCGACGAGUCGAGUUGUUUGGGAAUGCAGCUCUAAAUGGGAGGUAAAUUUCUUCUAAAGCUAAAUAUUGGCCAGAGACCGAUAGCGCACAAGUAGAGUGAUCGAAAGAUGAAAAGCACUUUGGAAAGAGAGUCAAACAGCACGUGAAAUUGUUGAAAGGGAAGCGCUUGCAGCCAGACUUGCUUGCAGUUGCUCAUCCGGGCUUUUGCCCGGUGCACUCUUCUGUAGGCAGGCCAGCAUCAGUUUGGGCGGUGGGAUAAAGGUCUCUGACACGUUCCUUCCUUCGGGUUGGCCAUAUAGGGGAGAUGUCAUACCACCAGCCUAGACUGAGGUCCGCGCAUCUGCUAGGAUGCUGGCGUAAUGGCUGUAAGCGGCCCGUCUUGAAACACGGACCAAGGAGUCUAACAUCUAUGCGAGUGUUUGGGUGUCAAGCCCGAGCGCGUAAUGAAAGUGAACGGAGGUGGGAACCCGCAAGGGCGCACCAUCGACCGAUCCUGAAGUUUACGGAAGGAUUUGAGUAAGAGCAUGGCUGUUGGGACCCGAAAGAUGGUGAACUAUGCUUGAAUAGGGUGAAGCCAGAGGAAACUCUGGUGGAGGCUCGCAGCGGUUCUGACGUGCAAAUCGAUCGUCAAAUUUGGGCAUAGGGGCGAAAGACUAAUCGAACUAUCUAGUAGCUGGUCUGCGCUUUUUUCUCCCCACACAAAAAAGAAAAACCCCCSUUUWAAAAAGGUUGGUGAAGWCCUCUCUC
rnacentral:rRNA from 1 species